rnacentral:rRNA from 1 species
GACAGAGGGUGCAAACGUUGUUCGGAAUUACUGGGCGUAAAGCGCGUGUAGGCGGGACGGUUAGUCGGACGUGAAAGGCUGGGGCUCAACCCCAGAUCGCCGUUCGAAACUGCCGUUCUUGAGGGUCGAAGAGGAGAGUGGAAUUCCUGGUGUAGCGGUGAAAUGCGUAGAGAUCAGGAGGAACACCCAUGGCGAAGGCAGCUCUCUGGUCGACAUCUGACGCUGAGACGCGAAAGCGUGGGGAGCGAACGGG